GUGAGAGUAGGCAUCCUUGUCUUGUUCCAUUUCCAAAGGAAAUUGUUCCAGCUUUGCUCAGUCAGUGUGAAGUCAGCUGAGGGUUUGUCAUAGAUGGCUCUUAUUAUCUGAGAACAUUUUCCAACUGUGGCUCAAAACAGAGACUGAGAUUUGACAACAAAAGAAGGAUCAGACAGAUGUGAUGUUGCUGGUUUUGAAGACUCAAGAAGAGCCAUGAGCCAAGGAAUGAGUGCAACACCUAAAAGCUGAAAACGGCAAGGAGCCGGAUUCUCCCCGGAGCCUCCAGAAAUGAUCACAGCCCUACUGACUCCUAAAUUUAGCUCACGAAGACCUUUGUUAGAUGUCUGAUGUUCACAAUUACAUGAAAACAAAUUUGUGUUUGCUAAGCCACCAAGAGUACAGUAAUUUGUUACAUCAGCAGUGAAAACCAAUAGAUUUAUCUUACUUUAUUUUUACAGCUUGUGAUAUAAUUUACCAUUUCUUUCUUGAAUUGAUCUCCCAUAUUUAUUUUAUAUUUCCAUAGGUUAUUAAGAAACAGAUGGUGUUUGGUUAUAUAAGUAACUUCUUUAGUGGUGAUUUGUGAGAUUUCGGUGCAUCCAUCACCCAAGAAGUAUACACUGCACCCUAUUUGUAGUUGUUUUUUUUCUCCCACCCUCCGAGAUAGGGUCCCACUCUGUCACCCAGGCUGGAAUGCAGUGGCGCAUCUCUGCUCACUGCAACCUCUGGCUCCUGGGCUCAAACAAUUCUCCUGCCUCAGCCUCCAGAGUAGCUGGGAUUACAGGCACCUACUGCCACACUUGGCUAAUUUUUGUAUUUUUGGUAGAGAUGGGGUUUCACCAUGUUGGCCACGCUGGUUUUGAACUCCUGACCUCAAAUGAUCCUCCCACCUCGGCUUUCCAUAGUGCUGGGAUUACAGGUGUGAGCCACCACGCCCGGCCCUAUUUGUAGUCUUUUAUCCUUCACCCCCUUCCUAACCCUUCUGCCUGAGUCCCCAAAGUCCAUUGUGUUAUUCUUAUGCCUUUGCAUCCUCAUAGUUUAGCUCCCAUUUAUGAGUGAGAGCAUAUGAUGUUUGCUUUUCAAUUCCUGAGUUACU
rnacentral:lncRNA from 1 species